GCCGUGUGCCUGCUAUACGGCCACAAUUCAAAAAAUUUAAUUUUCUGGAUUAUUGCAGAUUCGUAUUCAAAAUUGUUCAAUUUACGACCUUAUUUCGAGAGCCAUAGCAAAAAAGGUCUUUAAGAGCCUUUUUCUCACAAGUGGCCUUAUGGAUUUGACCAUAAAUUGUCAGACGAUUCCCUGCAAUACAGCCACUUGCCAGUCUGCCGUCUGGCGUUCGCACGUGAACUGACGGCCCUUUUGAGUUGUGGCUAUAUAGCACACGUUUUAAAUUAAGCUUUUGAGUUGCGUCCUAGAAAAUAAUAAUUACUAUAGUUACACAUAGUAUCGCGUACAGUGAUCUUGUUCCUAUCAAAGUUGAUAAAAUAAAGGGAUUUUAACUA